rnacentral:rRNA from 1 species
UUUUUUUUCGGUGAACUUGCGGAGGGAUCAUUACCGAGUUUAUAACUCCCAAACCCAAUGUGAACGUUACCAAACUGUUGCCUCGGCGGGGUCACGCCCCGGGUGCGUCGCAGCCCCGGAACCAGGCGCCCGCCGGAGGAACCAACCAAACUCUUUCUGUAGUCCCCUCGCGGACGUAUUUCUUACAGCUCUGAGCAAAAAUUCAAAAUGAAUCAAAACUUUCAACAACGGAUCUCUUGGUUCUGGCAUCGAUGAAGAACGCAGCGAAAUGCGAUAAGUAAUGUGAAUUGCAGAAUUCAGUGAAUCAUCGAAUCUUUGAACGCACAUUGCGCCCGCCAGUAUUCUGGCGGGCAUGCCUGUCCGAGCGUCAUUUCAACCCUCGAACCCCUCCGGGGGAUCGGCGUUGGGGAUCGGGACCCCUCACACGGGUGCCGGCCCCGAAAUACAGUGGCGGUCUCGCCGCAGCCUCUCCUGCGCGCUAGUUUGCACAACUCGCACCGGGAGCGCGGCGCGUCCACGUCCGUAAAACACCCAACUUUCUGAAAUUGUGACCUCGGAUCAGGCCAUGAUACCCUCCGCAGUUCAGCAACA